AUGCUCUUCAAAAAAAUUCAUCAAAUCCUAUCAUGCAACAACACAGAAAAAAAUACAGAAAUCUUGAUCAAAUCCUAUCAAAAAACUCAUCAAAUCCUACCAAAAAAAUUCAUCAAAUCCUACCAAAAAAUUCAUCAAAUCUUAUCAAAUCCUGUCAAAAAAAUUCAUCAAAUCCU